GAAAUAAAUUAUAAUUGAACUUCUAAUUCAAUAACUAAUGAUAUAUUCAUUUUAUUUCU
rnacentral:tRNA from 1 species